rnacentral:lncRNA from 1 species
CUUCACUCCUCUCUGGUGGCCCUCAGUAUCCCCUUCCCAAGUUUUUCUAAAGGUUUCUACUCUCUGAUUUGUACUUUCCUCCCUGCUUUGGGACAGUGAAUCCAAAUUUCAAUGGGACUCUUUUUUAAAGGAUGAAGAAUUGUGGACCUUUUAUAACUUUCUCUUGGAAACCAUGAUUGAAAGUGAUGAUAGCCAAUGAAAACUCCAUUGCCUCAUUUGGGGUGAGCAACCAGGUUCCCUGCUCCAAGUACUGCCACCUGGAAGAUUUCCAUUCACCUCUGUUGUACCGGAAAAUCACAGAGAGGAUUUGUA